rnacentral:piRNA from 1 species
UGCUUUGUUUUUCUGACUCAA